UUCAAACUUGUUCUCUUGCAUUCACCCGACUCCAAAUUUGCGAGGUAGUAUUAGAGACAAACCCAAAGCAAAGUCAUCAAGCCCAUUAUAAUUUCUUAAGCCCAUGUGUUUAGGGUUCUCCUUACAAGUAGCUUCCUAUAAAUAAGUACUGAAGUUAUGUGUUUAGCUUUGUAACUUUGGCUGCACAGUUGGAGCAUCUCCCUUUCUCAUUUUAAAUUAAAUACAAUUGUGUCAGAUAAGUUAAUGCACAAAUCUCCAAAAUAACACAUUUUUAAGUUUAUGUCACAAAAAUAGCUUUCAAAAACUAAAAUGAUCAAAAUAGUAUUUUAUCUUUUGAAAAAUUUAAAUUUCUUUUUAUUUUUCAAAAUUUGAAAUCUUAUCCCAAAACCCCACUCCCCAACUCUAAAACCUAAAAUCUAAACCGUAAACCCUAAAUUCUAAACCCUAAACACUAAAUCCUAAACCCCACCCCUUAACUCUAAACCCUAAACCCUAAACCCCACCCCUAAACUCCAAACCCUAAACCCUAAACUCUAAAUCCUAAACCUCACCCCUUAACUCUAAACCCUAAUGUCUAAAUUAAU
rnacentral:lncRNA from 1 species